GGCCGCGGUGGUGGGAGUUGUAGUUCCGCUGCGCGCCCGGGGGACCAAGCCUCGGGGCGCCAUGGCAAAGUCGGGCUGAGACAUUUUGGGCCGCCACACCCAGACGUGAUUCUCUACCCGCCUCCAGCCUGGACGUGUUUGAGGCCCGGACUCUAGGACUGCUCCAGCCCUUGGUCCGGGAUGCCCCGGCCUGGCCCUGAAGUCCCGCCCGCUGGUUUGGGGAGAACGUGGCGUCAGAAAGAACAAGGAGAGAAAAAUUUGUCCGUGAACUUUGUGCUUUUUUAGACAGUAGUCAAUCUAUGUUUCAAGAGAACAGGCAAGCUACAUGAAGUAAGUACCAGAAAAAUGUGUGUUCUUAUAAAUCCUUAAAUUUCAUUAGUGGUAAAGUAGUCUUAAUUAUAUUUUUUAUAAUGAAAUAAUUCCUGUACAAAUGGCUCAAUAUUGACUUAAUCAAGCAUUUGGUCAGGGUCACACAUUUUUCUUCACUGGAGAGAACAUUUAAUGUUGAAAAAAUAAGAUACAAAAUAUUUUGUUUACACAUCUUUCUAUUUGAAGCCAAUGAAAUUUAAUGUAGGAUGUUGUUACUCAAGAUUUCUCUUAGUAAUACUAAUAAAUAUAAGCAACCACCUUUUACUGAUAUUUUACAUGUGCUGAGCCCUUUGCAAAGAUCUCAGUUAACUUUUGCAACUUUGCUUUGAGGUGAGUAUCAUCUCCGUAUUACAGAUAAACUGAGGUUUAGAUAAGUCGGCUAAUUUUCCUAAGGUGACACAGAAAGCAGCAAAUGGGAGAAGCCUAUCUUUUUCAGUGGGCAUCUUACCAUAGAUUUCUUUGUGCGCAUCGAUUUUUAGAAAGUAUCCUCAUUUCUUUGAGGAUAGAGAAUGGGUUUUUUCCAUCCUUUUGACCUAGUGCAGUGUCCUGUACACAGAAGAUACCCAAUAAAUAUUUGAUGUUGGUGAUACUCAUUACUGGGCAAAGUGCUACAAUGGCAUAUUAAGUAAAGUGUAGAGUUUUACGUGGACAAAACAAAGAGAUCAAUAUACUGAUUUAGGUGAUUCACGCCAAUAAUUUAUUGAAUGAUAUGGAAUAAAUUCUGGGGAAAAUAUCAUGGAUUUUCUUUCCAAACUCCCAGGUAAAUUACAGGGAUGUAAACUUGACCUUUCUGGUGCUCUUGUAACAGAUGACACGACAUUUGUUUUUUUCUGACUAACAUUUGUUUUUUUCUGACACUCUGUAGCAGUGAUUAAAGAGAGGAUUAAUUUCAUAGAAUUACUGAUUAAGAAUUCACUUGAGAAAGCAUCAGUUUUUAAAAAGUAUUUAAUUUAGCUUUGAGUUUUUCAGUGUUCAGGCAGAGGGCGCCCUUGGACCACCAAGAAGGUAAUGAUAACUAAUAGGCUUUUUGUAACAGGGUUCUGGCCCACUGAGUAAUGGCUACAUGAAUGAGGGAAAAUGCAUUGUUUUGGCCAAAAUAGAUUACAAAAUGCUUUAAUGUUGAGUUUAAUCUGUUUUUGGCUUUAAAUGUUAUUGAAUUGUUGCAUGAAUAUGAAUUGCUAAAUGGAUAUGAGUUGUUGCAUGAGUUAUAAAAUGCUUUAUAAUUUUUUCACUUCUUAAGGAACUAGGUAAAAUUAAUUGCUAUAAGGUUCAAAUCAACAAGCAUUCUAAUUUGGGAGAUUAGUUUAAUAAAUAUAAAGUAACAUCUAAAAUUUGAAGGGGGUGUAUCUGAUUAUAACUUCUAUUCAUGUCUGAUUGCAAUUGACAGUCCAUCUGUCAAUAUGAAUAUGUAUGUGUUAGGCCAUGUGCUCAGUGCUUUCUGUGCAUUAUUCUCACAACUCAAAGACAUAAGUAGGGCCGAUACCCUCUUUUUAAAAAUGAGAAAAUCAGAGCUUAGAGAGAUUAAGAAGAUUUCCACUAAUAAGUGACAAAACUGGGAUUUGAACCUGGAGGUGUGAAUACCAGAAUCCAUGCUUAUACCCAGAAUACUGUAAUGCAAAUGACAGCUUCCUUUGUUCAUGGCACAAAAUUUACAAUUAAUAGUGAAAUUGGUUUCUUUCCCUUUAAUUUCUAGUUAUCAUUGAAAGAAUACAGCAACAUCUACUCACUACGACUUAAUUGAGGAAUAAUAUUGGGAGUUAGACUUUUAUUUCCUGGUGAUGUAGUGAUUUCAACUCAGAGGCUAUAGAAUGAUUCAGUUCCUGGUCAGAGGAAUGCUCAAGUUUAAAGAGUACCAUGAUAGAAUGAAAAGAACACUGAAUUGAGAGCCAGGACUGUAACAACACAAACUAGAGAAGAUGACAUAAGGUACAAAAAAGCAAAUUGGCGCUGAACUAAUAUCUGUUGCCAGUCCUCUUCUAUUUUGUAUGCGGGAUGCCACCACAGCUUGACUUGAUGAGCAGUGUGUAGGUCUGCACCCAGGAUCCAAACCUGUGAACCCCGGGCCACUGAAGCAGAGUGUGCAAACUUAACCACUAUGCCACCAGGCCAGUCCUGAAUCUAAUAAUUCUUGAUGCUAUUAUUGAUCCCCGUGGCACCACUGGAUAAUUUUUUUUUUCUGCUGAGGAAGAUUAGCCCUGAGUUAACAUCUGUUGUCCAUCUUCCUGUUUUUUUUCGCUUGAGGAAGAUUAGCCCUGAGCUAAUGUGUGCCAGUCUGCCUCGACUUUGUAUGUGGGUUGUUGCCACAGCAUGCCUGACAAGUGGUGUAGGUCUCCGUGUAGGAUCUGAACCUGUGAACCUGGGCUGCUGAAGCAGAGAAUGCUGAACUUAACCACUAUGCCACGGGGCUGGCCCCUGGAUAACUUUCUGUUUAGAGACCUUGGCCACAAAUACUACAUAAACAUAGUGAUAUAUAAUUUAUCUAUUGUAGUACUGAGUUUUUUUCUAUCAACUUAAAGGCACAAAUUAAAGAACCAUUUUCACAAGUUAAUACAUCUUGUCACUGCUUCAUAUUUUAAACUCAUUUUUUCAACUUUGUGAGGAUGGGUUAUUUUAUAGACCAGAUUGUAAUAUUGGGUUGUUAUAAAUAGUAUUCUUUGCCACAUAUCCUUGACCUUCAGGUAAGCAGUGGAUGAGUUUAUUUGGUCAUUGCACGUCUAAUUUUGGUAAGGGUUUUGUGUUUUUAGCUCUUUGAAUGGGAUUAGGCAUCACAUAUAUGUGCAGAAAGAAACUAAACCUUUAAACAGCUCUGAAAUUUGGAAAAAUAUAGUUGUGUG
rnacentral:lncRNA from 1 species